CGCCUGUUUAUCAAAAACAUCUCUUCUCGUUAGUUUUUGAAGUAUGGCCUGCCCACUGACCUUGAAUGUUGAAGGGCCGCGGUAUUUUGACCGUGCAAAGGUAGCAUAGUCAUUAGUUCUUUAAUUGUGAUCUGGUAUGAAUGGCUUGACGAGGCAUAAGCUGUCUUAAUUUUGAAUUGUUUAUUGAAUUUGGUCUUUGAGUUAAAAUUCUUAGAUGUUUUUAUGGGACGAGAAGACCCUAUAGAGUUUGACAUUUAUUCACGGUCUCUUUCUGUUUGUGAGGGUUCACUAGGGCUGUUUAAUAUGUUUUGUUGGGGUGAUGGGAGGGAUAUUAUUUAACCCCUCCUUUGUGUUGUUAUAUUUAUUUAUAUUUGUUUGAUCCAUUUAUUUUGAUUGUAAGAUUAAAUUACCUUAGGGAUAACAGCGUAA
rnacentral:rRNA from 1 species